CGGGGGGAGCAAGCGUUGUUCGGAUUUACUGGGCGUAAAGGGCGCGUAGGCGGCCACGACAAGUCACUUGUGAAAUCUCCGGGCUUAACUCGGAACGGUCAAGUGAUACUGUCGGGCUAGAGUGCAGAAGGGGCAACUGGAAUUCUCGGUGUAGCGGUGAAAAUGCGUAGAUAUCGAGAGGAACACCUGCGGCGAAGGCGGGUUGCUGGGCCGACACUGACGCUGAGGCGCGAAAGCCAGGGGAGCGAACGGGAUUAGAUACCCCGGUAGUCCUGGCCUUAAACGAUGAAUGCUUGGUGUCUCGGGUUACAUAGUCCCGGGGUGCCGUCGCUAACGCUUUUAGCAUUCCGCCUGGGGAUACGGUCGCAAGACUG
rnacentral:rRNA from 1 species